rnacentral:rRNA from 1 species
AGAGUUUGAUCAUGGCUCAGAGCGAACGCUGGCGGCAGGCUUAACACAUGCAAGUCGAGCGGAUGUAGCAAUACAUCAGCGGCAGACGGGUGAGUAACACGUGGGAACGUACCUUUUGGUUCGGAACAACACAGGGAAACUUGUGCUAAUACCGGAUAAGCCCUUACGGGGAAAGAUUUAUCGCCGAAAGAUCGGCCCGCGUCUGAUUAGCUAGUUGGUGAGGUAAUGGCUCACCAAGGCGACGAUCAGUAGCUGGUCUGAGAGGAUGAUCAGCCACAUUGGGACUGAGACACGGCCCAAACUCCUACGGGAGGCAGCAGUGGGGAAUAUUGGACAAUGGGCGCAAGCCUGAUCCAGCCAUGCCGCGUGAGUGAUGAAGGCCCUAGGGUUGUAAAGCUCUUUUGUGCGGGAAGAUAAUGACGGUACCGCAAGAAUAAGCCCCGGCUAACUUCGUGCCAGCAGCCGCGGUAAUACGAAGGGGGCUAGCGUUGCUCGGAAUCACUGGGCGUAAAGGGUGCGUAGGCGGGUCUUUAAGUCAGGGGUGAAAUCCUGGAGCUCAACUCCAGAACUGCCUUUGAUACUGAAGAUCUUGAGUUCGGGAGAGGUGAGUGGAACUGCGAGUGUAGAGGUGAAAUUCGUAGAUAUUCGCAAGAACACCAGUGGCGAAGGCGGCUCCUGGCCCGAUUCUGACGCUGAUGCACGAAAGCGUGGGGAGCAAACAGGAUUAGAUACCCUAGUAGUCC